UGGGGUGUGGCCAGGUGGUAAGGCAACGGGUUUUGGUCCUGUUAUGCGGAGGUUCGGAUCCUUCCGUCCCAG
rfam:Gossypium hirsutum cultivar TM-1 chromosome 9, whole genome shotgun sequence